UUAGAUCUAUGAAUUGAUACUCUGUGAUACUCUCUAGUAUUUAAUGGUUCUUUCCUUACAAGGAAGAAGUCACAGGUUCAAAUCCUGUAGCGCCCA
rnacentral:tRNA from 1 species